rnacentral:rRNA from 1 species
GUACCGGCUGCUCGAGUGAUGGCCACUAUUACUGGGUUUAAAGCGUCCGUAGCUUGACUGUUAGGUCUCUUGGGAAAUCUUUUGGCUUAACCAAAAGGCGUCUAAGAGAUACCGGCAUUCUUGGAACUGGGAGAGGUAAGCCGUACUUCGGGGGUAGGAGUGAAAUCUUGUAAUCCUCGAGGGACGACCUAUGGCGAAGGCAGCUUACCAGAACAGCUUCGACAGGGAAGGACGAAAGCUGGGGGAGCAAACGGGAUUAGAUACCCCGGUAGUCCCAGCCGUAAACAAUGUGCGUUAGGUGUGUCGGUUACCACGCGUAACUGAUGCGCCGAAGAGAAAUCGUGAAACGCACCACCUGGGAAGUACGGUCGCAAGGCUGAAACUUAAAUGAAUUGGCGGGG